GUUGUGAUUUCAUUAAUCGCUUCGGAGCGCGGGCGGUCGCGGCCGUUAAAUCUUUUAUAAGGUUGACCUCGGAUCAGGUAGGGAUACCCGCUGAACUUAAGCAUAUCAAUAAGCGGAGGAA
rnacentral:rRNA from 1 species